rnacentral:miRNA from 1 species
UACCCUGUAGAUAGAGCUGUGUGU